rnacentral:rRNA from 1 species
GAGUUUGAUCCUGGCUCAGAUUGAACGCUGGUGGCAUGCCUUACACAUGCAAGUCGAACGGCAGCACGGGAGCUUGCUCCUGGUGGCGAGUGGCGAACGGGUGAGUAAUGCAUCGGAACGUAUCCUGGAGUGGGGGAUAACGUAGCGAAAGUUACGCUAAUACCGCAUAUUCUGUGAGCAGGAAAGCGGGGGACCUUCGGGCCUCGCGCUCUUGGAGCGGCCGAUGUCGGAUUAGCUAGUUGGUGAGGUAAAGGCUCACCAAGGCGACGAUCCGUAGCAGGUCUGAGAGGAUGAUCUGCCACACUGGAACUGAGACACGGUCCAGACUCCUACGGGAGCAGCAGUGGGAAUUUGGACAAUGGGGCAACCUGAUCCAGCCAUGCCGCGUGAGUGAAGAAGGCCU